GGCGGCGGAGGCGGAGGAGGCGGCCGGAAGACCGCGGCCUGGACAAAGGAGUAGGGCGGGAGCGGGGCCCGGGCAGUCGCGGAGGGCGGGGCGUGGGGCCCGGCCGGGCCUUCGCCGUGCCUCAGUUUCCUUUCCCGCCGAGGGAGGGAGGCGUUGGGGUGAGCACCAGUGCCCCGCACGGCCCCGGCGAGCUCUACUGUCCUCCCGCGAGGGAAGCCUGGAUGGGCCGUAGGGAACCGGGGGCUGGACUCCUUUUCGGCCUUACGUUCUACUUCCCCAGAGCCACACCCCGCCGUCCCUUUUGCCCAGGAUUGUCCCGGCAGCUCCUUCAGUCCCAGGAAUAUUUUCCAUAUAGCAUUCAGAAGAACAAUCCCUGUGGCUUUUCUACGUUAGGAUUUCUGCAUUGUUGUUGGCUGAUGUCAUAGGCUUUUCGCUCUACGGUGAUAACAGGAAAUACAGGGGAGAGAAGAACAAUUGAAUUGACACCACAAGAAAGCAUUGAAAAGCCCAGAACGUGGGAUACUCUACAGGACUGACCUGGUUUUUAUAAGUGAAGAUCUUGGAAAGAAAACCUGAAGAAGAGAAGUGAUUUAAGAGAUACUGAUUCAUCAGAUCCUGCCAUCCUAUCACGACUCGGUCCCCUUGCAGCGGCCACUGUCCCGCCGGCCCCAUCUGCCAGCGUUCUUCCAGCGGUGCAGGUAAGGAGGACUGUGCUCUGGGAGCAGCAACCUUGAGCCCGGAUCACCCCCUGCCCUCAGCUGACGGCUUCCUUGGGCGACUCUGCAGAACUCUGGCUCUCCUGCCUUUUCUGCCGCUGCUAUUCAUUUAUGGACCUCUCAUCUUUCUACACGGAUUCAAAAGACUCCCGUCUCACUGACCUUUUUUUGGAAUCCAGGAUAAAGAAGUAGCCACUGCAUGAAACUUGAUGGUCUCAGGGUGAAGGUUUGAACAUCGUGGGAACAUGCAAUGCCUCUGAAAACCUCAGCUCAGAAUCCGAGGAGGACUCCUGCAGGCCAGGGCACUGCUGCAUGAGAGGCCUCUAGCAGGUUCCAUCACUGCCUCUCAGGAUCGCUCUCAUCCUCUCAGGGAAGGUUAGGAAGAGUUAACAGAAGAACCAUAAGUGUACCAGACUGGGGAUGAGGCUCACCGGGACCAGGGACAGCUAAUGAUGAUACCAAAAUCACGAGGGAGCCGUGUUGAAUUCUCAGGACUUUGUGUAGAUUCAGAAGUACCUUAAGCGGGGCGCCUGGGUGGCUCAGUUGGUUAAGCGUCUGCCUUCGGCUCAGGUCAUGAUCCCAGGGUCCUGGGAUCGAGCCCCGCAUCGAGCCCCGCAUCGAGCCCCACAUCGAGCCCCGCAUCGAGCCUGGCAUCGGACUCCCUGCUCGGCGGGAGGCCUGCUUCUCCCUCUCCCUCUCCCACUCCCCCUGCUUGUGUUCCCUCUCUCGCUGUCUCUCUCUCUCUCUGUCAAAUAAA